rnacentral:rRNA from 1 species
UCGAGAAUCUUUCGCAAUGGGCGCAAGCCUGACGAAGCGACGCCGUGUGAGCGAAGAAGGCCUUCGGGUUGUAAAGCUCUUUCGCUAGGGAACAAGAAAGUCGGAUGAAUAAUCCGAUAAUUUGAUGGUACUUGGUAAAGAAGCACCGGCUAACUCCGUGCCAGCAGCUGCGGUAAUACGGAGGGUGCAAGCAUUGAUCGGAAUUACUGGGCGUAAAGGGCGCGUAGGCGGUUAGGAAAGUCAGAUGUGAAAUUCCGGGGCUCAACCCCGGAGCUGCAUUUGAAACUUCCAGACUAGAGUUCAGUUAGGGAAAACGGAAUUCCACGUGUAGCGGUGAAAUGCGUAGAUAUGUGGAAGAACACCGGUGGUGAAGACGGUUUUCUGGGCUGAUACUGACGCUGAGGCGCGAAAGCAAGGGGAGCAAACAGGAUUAGAUACCCCUGUAGUCC